rnacentral:lncRNA from 1 species
AUUUAGGCAUCGGAGGAUCCCCUAUCGGACACUCUCCGGCAAGAAAAAUUUAUUGCCUUUGUUGCUUUAGGUCAAAUCCGAUGUUCGAGCAAAGUUCCGAGCACGAUCUUCUCUUUCCAGCACCAUCUCAGAAGCGACCAACAUUGGAGCGAUCAACAUCUGAGUGCAGCGACCACCACCUCGGAGGCGCAUCGCGACAUUCGGCCACCUCUACGGUCUGAACGGCCAUCCUUCGAGCCCUCUAGCCACUCAACCAGCUUGGCACCUUGGUCAGAUCGAUUCCUGUACGAUAACAGAUUGACGCAAGAGGAAGCACUCGUGAUCCCACUACCGGAGGUUCUAUCAAACAACAGACGAUUCACAGCCAUGAAGUCUCGAAGAGCACAGGCAACACCCUCGACUGCCCAGCCAAACAUGCCUAUAGAAUCCGACAGCUCUCUACAAAGCCCUCGGAGGGCUCCACCUCCAUCGGAGCCACAAGUGGUGUAAGCGGUGACCAUCGAGUGUUUUAGUUGCUCGUACAGUAGGUUCAGGCGCUGACCAUAGUUGUCUAAAACCUACAGUAAACAACCGCUAACCGGCACCAAUAGCAGCAGGCGCGCAAGCCGAGCGACCAUAGAAUCUCGGCGCAGCUGAGCCAACACUCCCCUUCUUGGAGUCCAGAGUAGGCUCAGCAGAGCCAUCGCUUCCGUCCUCGAAGCUCAAGAAGACCCCCUCGUAGCCACCAUUCUUAUCCACGGAGUCCUAGACGAGAUCAGAGGUGUCAAUUAUUGAGCUCGCCAUCUUGGGAGGGAUCGAUGUCUAGCUACUCCUUGCCUCGCUGAUCUGAGAGAGUCUUCAAGAGGGAGGCCGACCUCGACCACAAACUUAA